AUGAAAAUGUCGCGGAACACCGACACCCCGCACAGCCGAAGAUACGCAGCCCUUCUUCCUCCUCCCGCACAGCAAGAUCCCGCAGCUCCAGAUCAUCCACCGCUAUCGGCACAGCCAAGGACCGCCGCACCACAUGCAGCAGCCAAACACACCCACUCCAGGCAGCAUCCGGCAGCAACACAGCGGUCGCGGCCAAGGGCCUACCCCAGAUCCAGAAAUGCCACCAGGAGGCCACCAACCACCACGGCUGGGCGCCGCCACCAGGAGGCCGCCGCCGCACACCAGGACGAGUGCCGCCUCCUCCAAGACGAUCCGCGCUGCCGCCGCACACCAGGACGAGCGCCGCCUCCACCAUGGCCGAGCCGCGCCGCCACCACCAUGGCCGAACCGCGCCGCCACCACUCUCCUACGCCGGCGCCUCCCGAACGGAAACACCCUCCCGCGCCUCCUGUGCAAGAUCCGGCCGUGCUCCGCCCCGCCGCUGCGCCCCUCGCCGUGGACCACCGCACCGGAGAAAUCCACCCACGCCGCCCGCUGACGCCGCUCCCUCGCGCGAGGGAGGCCCGUCGGGGCGCGCUCGCCAUGCCCGCCGCCUUUGACGGCCGGGCGCCGCCACUACCGCCGGCGCCGGCGGCAGCGACGGCUGGGGGAUCUCGGGAAGGGAGGGUUUCUGGCGCUAGGGUUUGGGGCCUCCGGAGCCGCCCGCGCGUGCGGCUCGGGAGGUUCGUCCUUCAAAGUUCCACCUACUUGGUUUCGGGGGGAGAAAAGGUUGGUUCCUACCGCAUCUUCUGA
rnacentral:rRNA from 1 species